rnacentral:rRNA from 1 species
GUCUACGGCCAAGCCACCCUGAACACACCCGAUCCCCGCCUGAUCUUGCGAAACUAAGCAGGGUCAGGCCUGGUUAGUACUCGAAUGGGAGACCACCUAGAAAGACCAGGUGCUGUAGGCA